CUGAUAUUAAACCUUUGUAUUCUUACUUGAUAUAAUUUUUAAGGAAAUUAUUUUAUCAAAUAUUAAAAUUAAAAGGGUAACAUGCAGAAACCUAGCUGUAUACAGAAAAGGCAAUAUUACCACUAUUUGGUGAGGUGUGCUGCGUGACGAUAACCUGAAAAGAAGCACUAGGUCAUAAGACUGGCUUCAGUUCCUCUGAGAAUUUACAAGAGCCUUUUCUGGGGAGAUCACUGGGCAAGACCCUGAGCAAAUUCUGAGAAACAUUGGGUUAUCCAUAAUUAGUGUAUUUUGAAAGGUGUACUGGCUACUGGAGCACACCUGUCUAGGAUUAACUCCACAGAGGACUUGCUUCUGCCUCUGCUGGCAGUGUGGGAGUACCACCAUUCUGGAAUCACUUCAGUCCUCCCUUGAAGGUUGUGUGUAAGGAUGGGAAAUCAUGAACAGCUUUUGCCCACUCUACUUAGUGGCCCAGUGCUCAAUGUCCUGACAGCUAGGCCAUUAUGGGCAUCCACCCUCAGGGCACCCAAACCCCCUCUCUUCUCCCUGCACUUUCCCAGAUCACUGGUUUUGAUUGAUUUGGGGUCCCCUCUCUCCACUUCUAUGAGACCAGCAGUGCUUUAAUGUGUCCCAGCCAGGAUCUUCCUUGUUCACCAAGAAAGUUUCCCAUGUAGCCCACCACACCAGAAGUAGAAGUUCCUCCAGAUUCCAGACUCUAAUAGCCAGUUAUUACAAAGGAAA
rnacentral:lncRNA from 1 species